rnacentral:lncRNA from 1 species
CCAAGCUUUGUGUCUUAGCUGCACAUGACAAGGAAGAAGCAGGUGGAGAUGAGGAUCGCUUUCGUCCUGGUGGCGGACAGAUGUUACUGUUGGGAUGGGCACUGGAGAGGUCAUCAUAGUGCCAGUGGCCAUCAUAGUGCCAGUGGCAGUGUGUGUGUGUACAAAGGCAGAAAGAAAGCUACAGAAUUCAGAUUCUCCAAGGUAGAAGUUUUGGCCUUUGUUUUAGCUUUUGUGCUACAAAGAGUUGCUAUAAAUAUGAACGCGACUGGCAAAAUCUGCAGAUUAAGUAAAACCUGUGAAGGCUAUAACAUGCUUCAUACACACCCAGCAGUGGCGGCGUCUAUUCAUAGAUGCACGUUCUAGAAUUCACCCUCUUUCGCGGUCUUUUAAAAGCUCACUCAUUCUGUGUUUAUGUGUACUUUUCUCCUCCCCUCUCUUGUUUUGAGCAGCCUAACUGGAGAUGUGUGAGCAGGGUAGCUUUCAGGAUUGUAUUGUCUAGAUCAAAGGGCAGGACUAUUCCCUGAUGUGGG